rnacentral:rRNA from 1 species
UACGAAGGGUGCAAACGUUGCUCGGAAUUAUUGGGCGUAAAGCGCACGUAGGCGGCUGGGCAAGUCGGAUGUGAAAUCCCUCGGCUCAACCAAGGAAGUGCAUCCGAAACUGCUGAGCUUGAGUACUUAAGAGGAUCGCGGAAUUCCCGGUGUAGAGGUGAAAUUCGUAGAUAUCGGGAGGAACACCAGUGGCGAAGGCGGGGACCUGGGAAGAUCCUGACGCUGAGGUGCGAAAGCCUGGGGAGCAAACAGG